AAUGAGCGCGUUAGGGAUUGAAGUGGUAUCCUUUUUUGUUUUUCUCAAAAAAGAUACAACGAAAAGCCCGACCUUUU
rnacentral:sRNA from 1 species